UCCAGGCAUGGAGAGGGCGCAGUUCCGCGCUAUCCUCCGUAUCGUUGACACGUCCGAGUAGAAAGAGUGCCACGCUGCCGACUUACCUCGAGUUUCCAUAACUUUUUUUCUUAUUCUUAUUAUUCUUAUUAUACUUAUUAUACUUAUUCAACGCGUUAUAAUAUUACAUCUCAUUAAUUAUUUUUCCCUAAUCUUAAUUAAUCUCUUAUAUAUAACUUUGAUACGAUUUAAUCAUCCAUUUUGGAUUAUAAAUCGUACCGAUCUUAAAUCUGUCGAUCAAUGAACACGCGCAUUUUUUCGAACGACUUACCAACGUUUAGAAAGUAAAUAAUCAAAGUGAGAUAGAUAGAGAGUAAGGGAGAGAUAAAGGGACGCGGAUCUACUGUUCCUCAUACUCUGUUUGUGUUUAAAGAGAAAUAAAUAAAUAAAUAAUUAAAGAGAUAGAUAGAUUGAUAGAAAGAAAGAAAGAAAGAAAGAAAGUGUUUCUCUUAAAAAGAUAGUGACUUUGACGCUUGGACUAUCGCCAUUUUUCACAAGACGUGUGUGAGAAGAUACAAGACAACGAUGAUGGCCGUUUCCUCUUCUUCUUCUUAUUCUUCUUCUUCUUCCUCCUCCUCCUUUUUCUUCUUGUUCGCUGUCUUGGUCGUUGCGCUCGUGUUCAGCGAUGGGACCAUGGGUACCACGGCAAACCAGAUGACGUUGGAAGCCAGGAUCUACGACGACCCCGAACUAUCACAGGU